UGCUAAAACUUUCAUCCAUUUCUAUUGUUAAAAACUAGCAUGACUAACAAAAUAACCAAACAGUGACAAGUGGCGUGUCACAUGUACUUCAUGCCGACGUACAAGGACCAAUUUUUAAUAGUAGAAGUGAAUGAAAUUUUUAACA
rfam:Gossypium raimondii Chr04_contig_32, whole genome shotgun sequence.